CAGUAGCCGCGGGAAUACGUAGGGUGCGAGCGUUAAUCGGAAUUACUGGGCGUAAAGCGUGCGCAGGCGGUUAUGUAAGACAGGUGUGAAAUCCCCGGGCUUAACCUGGGAAUGGCGCUUGUGACUGCAAAGCUAGAGUGCGGCAGAGGGGGAUGGUAUUCCGCGUGUAGCAGUGAAAUGCGUAGAUAUGCGGAGGAACACCGAUGGCGAAGGCAAUCCCCUGGGCCUGCACUGACGCUCAUGCACGAAAGCGUGGGGAGCAAACAGGAUUAGAUACCCGAGUAGUCCCUGUCUCUUAUAC
rnacentral:rRNA from 1 species